UAUUAAUAGUUCACAAUAUUACUGUUUUACUGUGUUUUUGAUCAAAUAAAUGCAGCUUUGGUAAAUGCUUUUUGAACAACAUAAAAACAUAAUUAUUCUACACCUUUGACUGCUAGUGUAUAAGUUUCAUUGCAGUUCUAUUAUAAAAUGCUAAAAGUUUAUGUAAUCCGUCUAAAAAAAUUGUUCACACAACAUUAAAUUUAGUCGUCAUUUACAAGUGUUACAAAUUAAUAAUUUAAGUUAUUCACUGAUUUUUUUUUUCAACUGCCCUCAUUCCACAGAUUAACCAUGUUUUUUAGCAAGUUUUGCUCAAAUUAUCAUUCUCUGCAUUCAUAGCAUUCUAUUCAGUUGCAGAACAUAUGCAAAAAAGCAGCAAGAUAUGGCACAACUGUCAGAGAUUGCUAAUGCAUGUUUACAUUUACAAGCAGAUUUGCAAACCAGAUUCGAUCUAAGAACCAAUGUUUCUGACCUUCAGAAAUUCAGCCUGACAUUUAAAACUCAUUUAUGAUUACAAUCGUAAUGUGCAAUGGAUCUUUAUUCACAUUUUUUGUAUGAUUUUGUUUCAAUUUUGUGUGUGUGUCGUGAAUAAGAAUGCAUGGAACACUAGUAUUUAGAGUAUUUAUCAAAUGAAGUGUUUUUGUGAACUUGAGCCUUAUCUAUUAUUUGUUAAUUCAAAUAAUAUUUUCUGUCUUUUAAAUAACAUUUGAGUCUUUAAAUCACUGAUAAAAUCUGCAUACACUCAUAUAGCCAGCUCACACUUUGUCGCACUCUGAUGAUGUCACUUCUUGUUAAAUAGAAAAACCAUCUCUACACAGAUGUUUUCCUUAAAGGUUUUAUAUGACAAGUGGAUGUAAAGCCUGUUUACAUUAUCUUUGGAAUUAGGUUUUUAUUUUUGUGAAAAUGUAAAAAUGAAUUAAAGUGCCUUUAAGAUUUGCAGUUAUUGUCCUUCUAAGGUCUGAUGCUGCAUAGUAUGCAGUUAGCUUACUAUAAGCAUAUCAGGUAUGUGUGUGUGUUAAAUACCCAGAAGCAGACAGAGAGACUGAGAAACAUCACUAUGAAAAAAAACCUGUAUAAUCUAAGUACCAAUGUCAUAUUAAUUUAAUCACAUUCCACCAUUUGCCUCUUUUAUUUUUCCAUUAAGUGUCAAUAGAAUAUGUUUAGGCAUCAUAGAUAUACACAUUAGUAGCACUGGAUAAUGAUAAACAUGCGUUUUUGUGUGUAUGCUUGCACGUAUAGGCCUAUUUGUGUGUGUGUGUGUGUUUGUGUGUGUGUGUGUGUGUGUGUGUGUGUGUGUGUGUGUGUGUGUGUGU